GGGGAGCCAGUUAAGCCGACUGUGCUCUUUUCCCCAUGGGGGCCCAGUGUGCAAUGGCUGCAGACAGCAGCCUCCUUGGUAGUGUAUGCAACCUGUUGCCUGCACAGGUUGCCCUAAGGGACCUUGGAGACAACU
rnacentral:snoRNA from 1 species